rnacentral:rRNA from 1 species
AUGCCGCGGUGAAUACGUUCCCGGGCCUUGUACACACCGCCCGUCACACCACGAGAGUUUGUAACACCCGAAGUCGGUGGGGUAACCUUUAUGGAGCCAGCCGCCUAAGGUGGGACAGAUGAUUGGGGUGAAGUCGUAACAAGGUAGCCGUAUCGGAAGGUGCGGCUGGAUCACCUCCUUUCU